GUGCUCACUUCAGCAGCACACAUACUAAAAUUGAAACAAUUCAGAGAAGAUUAGCAUGGUCCCUGUAAAGGAUGACAAAGAGAUCUGUGAAGCAUUCCAUAUUUUU
rnacentral:snRNA from 1 species